rnacentral:rRNA from 1 species
ACGCUAGCUACAGGCUUAACACAUGCAAGUCGAGGGGAAACGAUAUUGGAAGCUUGCUUCCGAUAGGCGUCGACCGGCGCACGGGUGAGUAACGCGUAUCCAACCUGCCCACCACUUGGGGAUAACCUUGCGAAAGUAAGACUAAUACCCAAUGAUAUCUCUAGAAGACAUCUGAAGGAGAUUAAAGAUUUAUCGGUGAUGGAUGGGGAUGCGUCUGAUUAGCUUGUUGGCGGGGUAACGGCCCACCAAGGCGACGAUCAGUAGGGGUUCUGAGAGGAAGGUCCCCCACAUUGGAACUGAGACACGGUCCAAACUCCUACGGGAGGCAGCAGUGAGGAAUAUUGGUCAAUGGACGAGAGUCUGAACCAGCCAAGUAGCGUGCAGGAUGACGGCCCUAUGGGUUGUAAACUGCUUUUAUAAGGGAAUAAAGUGAGUCUCGUGAGACUUUUUGCAUGUACCUUAUGAAUAAGGACCGGCUAAUUCCGUGCCAGCAGCCGCGGUAAUACGGAAGGUCCGGGCGUUAUCCGGAUUUAUUGGGUUUAAAGGGAGCGUAGGCCGGAGAUUAAGCGUGUUGUGAAAUGUAGACGCUCAACGUCUGCACUGCAGCGCGAACUGGUUUCCUUGAGUACGCACAAAGUGGGCGGAAUUCGUGGUGUAGCGGUGAAAUGCUUAGAUAUCACGAAGAACUCCGAUUGCGAAGGCAGCUCACUGGAGCGCAACUGACGCUGAAGCUCGAAAGUGCGGGUAUCGAACAGGAUUAGAUACCCUGGUAGUCCGCACGGUAAACGAUGGAUGCCCGCUGUUGGUCUGAAUAGGUCAGCGGCCAAGCGAAAGCAUUAAGCAUCCCACCUGGGGAGUACGCCGGCAACGGUGAAAC